AGUCUGGUGCCAGCAGCCGCGGUAACUUCAGCUCCAAUAGCGUAUAUUAACAUUGUUGCAUUUAAAAAGCUCGUAGUUGAAUUUAUUUUUAUAAAUUUUAUAUAAGUAAUAUUAUUUUAUAAUAAAAUUAUUUAAAUUUAUUUUUUAUAAUUUUAUUAUAUAUUAAACGGUAAUAUUAUUUAUAAUUUAUAAAAAAAUUUUAUGUUAUAUUAUUUAGUAAUAGAUAAUAUAAUAUAAAUAUUACUGUGAAAAAAUUAGAGUGUUUAAAGCAUGUAUAUAAAAUUAAAAAAUAUAUUUUCUGAAUAUAUUUUUUUAGCUUGAAUAUAUUAGCAUGGAAUAAUAAUAUUAUAAUAUUUUUAUAUUAUUUUGUUGGUUAAAUAUAAAAAUAUAUGAUUAAUAGGGACAAUUGGGGGUAUUUAUAUUUCAUAGUCAGAGGUGAAAUUCUGGGAUUUAUGAAAGAUAAACAAAUGCGAAAGCAUUUACCAAAAAUGUUUUCAUUAAUCAAGAACGAAAGUUAGGGGAUCAAAGAGGCUUAGAUACCCUCGUAG
rnacentral:rRNA from 1 species